rnacentral:rRNA from 1 species
GGUUGAUCCUGCCAGUAGUCAUAUGCUUGUCUCAAAGACUAAGCCAUGCAUGUCUAAGUAUAAACAAUUAUAUAGUGAAACUGCGACUGGCUCAUUAAAUCAGUUAUAGUUUAUUUGAUAUUAUCUUUCUCUACUUGGAUAACUGUAGAAAAUCUAGAGCUAAUACAUGCAAAACAAAUUCAAACUAGUACUUAAAAAAUACUGGAAUGAAUGUAUUUAUUAGAUGAGAAACCAAUAUGGGGAAACCCAUUUAAUUAGGUGAAUCAUAAUAACUUUUUAUAAAUGAUAGAGGG